AGGACGAACGCUGGCGGCGCGCUUAACACAUGCAAGUCGAGCGAGAACCAGGGCUUCGGCUCUGGGGACAGCGGCGAACGGGUGAGUAACACGUGGGUAAUCAACCCUCGACAUCGGGAUAGCCCGGGGAAACCCGGAUUAAUACCGAAUGCUCCGUCUGGCCUUCGGGCCGGCCGGAAAAGGUAGCUUCGGCCUCCGGUCGGGGACGAGCCCGCGGCGGAUUAGCUUGUUGGUGGGGUAAAGGCCCACCAAGGCGACGAUCCGUAGCUGGUCUGAGAGGACGAUCAGCCACACUGGGACUGAGACACGGCCCAGACUCCUACGGGAGGCAGCAGUGGGGAAUCUUGCGCAAUGGGCGAAAGCCUGACGCAGCGACGCCGCGUGAGGGAAGAAGGCCGUUCGGGUUGUAACCUCUUUCAGGAGGGACGAAGCCACUCGGGUUAAUAGCCCAGAGGGUGACGGUACCUCCAGAAGAAGCCCGGCUAACUACGUGCCAGCAGCCGCGGUAA
rnacentral:rRNA from 1 species